UGAGGAAUAUUGGUCAAUGGUCGGGAGACUGAACCAGCCAAGCCGUGUGAGGGAAGAAGGUACAGAGUAUCGUAAACCUCUUUUGUCAGGGAACAAAAGGCGCCACGUGUGGCGCUCCGAGUGUACCUGAAGAAAAAGCAUCGGCUAACUCCGUGCCAGCAGCCGCGGUAAUACGGAGGAUGCGAGCGUUAUCCGGAUUUAUUGGGUUUAAAGGGUGCGUAGGCGGCGAGUUAAGUCAGCGGUAAAAGCCCGGGGCUCAACCCGGCCCGCCGUGAACUGCUGCUUGAGUUGAGAGAAGUAGGCGGAAUGCGCGGUGUAGCGGUGAAAUGCUUAGAUAUCGCGCAGAACUCCGAUUGCGAAGGCAGCCUACCGGCUCUACACUGACGCUGAGGCACGAAAGCGUGGGUAUCGAACAGGAUUAGAUACC
rnacentral:rRNA from 1 species